rnacentral:rRNA from 1 species
UACGAAGGGGGCUAGCGUUGUCCGGAUUUAUUGGGCGUAAAGAGCGUGUAGGCGGCUUUACAGGUCCGUUGUGAAAACUCGAGGCUCAACCUCGAGACGCCGGUGGAAACCGUAAGGCUAGAGUCCGGAAGAGGAGAGUGGAAUUCCUGGUGUAGCGGUGAAAUGCGCAGAUAUCAGGAGGAACACCCGUGGCGAAGGCGACUUCCUGGCCUGUUCUUGACGCUGAGGCGCGAAAGCUAGGGGAGCAAACGGG